UACGGGGGGGGCAAGCGUUGUUCGGAAUUACUGGGCGUAAAGGGCUCGUAGGCGGCCAACUAAGUCGGAUGUGAAAUCCCCAGGCUCAACUUGGGAACUGCAUCCGAUACUGGAUGGCUUGAAUCCGGGAGAGGGAUGCAGAAUUCCAGGUGUAGCGGUGAAAUGCGUAGAUAUCUGGAGGAAUACCGGUGGCGAAGGCGGCAUCCUGGACCAUUACUGACACUGAAAAGCGAAAGCCAGGGGAGCAAACGGG
rnacentral:rRNA from 1 species